CCGAGCUAGAGGCGCUUCAGAGGAGGGACCGACCUGCAGGAGCCGGCCGCCCCGCCGAGCUGCAGUCGCUGCCGCCGCUGCUGCUACUGUCGCUGUCAGAGCCCGUCCGAAGAGUGACACCUUCGCGAAAAACAGGAGCUGCGAAACAGUUGCACACGCAGUCUUCGGAUCUCCGGUCACCGUUCAUGAGCCCGAGGCUGUGAGACAUGCCCCAUGUGCCAAGGGGGGUGCUCACCAAAUCUUCUGAGGCUGUUCUAGACAUACACUGUUGGGACUGAGUCAGCAUUACCAGCUUAUCCGAGAGAAGUACCGUCAUAUUCAUUAACAACGUCGAAAGUAGCCUACUUUAAGAGGAAAUAUGCAGAAGAAGAAGAUUUACAUCAAGGUUACCAUGGGUGUUUUCCAAAACACCUGAUAUUACCCGAAGACAGGACCUGUAUCCUCAAACUUUCACUGGAGAAGCUCAGGUUUCUCGAAGACCCAGAAACCUACUUAAGAAGGUCUGUGUUAAUUAACAAUUUGCUAAGGAAGAUACACCUAGAGACGGAGAAAGAGAGCUAUGAAUACUUUAAGGAAUCUCCCCCCUAUAAGACUGCUUAUUCGGAUACAAGAAAACGGCUGAAGUUUAUGGUACAGGAGUGCUGUUCCCAGUCUCUCUACUAUGAAGAGCUGCAUUCCUACCACAUUGUGCCUUAUACUUCGGAGAAUGCCAUCUACGGGAUGGGCUACACUGGUGACCACUUGGAGCAAAAUUCUCAGUUGCUUAUUUAUAAAAUGAAUUAAAGUAACUGUUAAGUUCAUUGAUAUUUUGUUUCUAAAUGCCUGAACUGUUUAUAGUGAAGAUGUUAAUAUAAGACACUAAUUAUCAGUGCACUUGAUCUCAGUGAUGAGAUGCAUGCCGAACUGAGGGGAGAGAACCAUGGUUAUUUCCUACCCAGCAAUCCUUAGUGCCAUCACACUGAAUGGAAAGUAGACCUAUUUUAUCAUACAGCAGUGAGUCGAUGCACUAGAAGAAAAGGUUUUAAAAUUGUUUUUGAGAUAGGGGAAGGAUUGAUCUCUGGUCAACCUGUGAGGUUAAAAUUCUUAAGUCACUCCCCCAUCUAAAUUCGACCUACUCUUAUUGAACAUUAGCAAAAAUAAAAUCAUAUUUAAUUGAUAAUGUUGUGACCCUGAAGACUAGGGGUGGAAUGGAUCUAAUUUUAUUUAUGUAGUGAGAGUUCCGUCCUUUCAGAAAUUCUAUGGCUUGUCAAACACCGUGCCAAAUGGUCACUUGUUAUUAGUAUCCUUUAACCAUGAAUGGCAGUUCAAGAUGGGGUCAGUAUAUACUGAAGCUUACUUGCUCAAUGUAACAACUGGAUUACCCCAAUCUCAUCCACCACCACCACCUCCUCCUCCUCCUCCUUCUUCUUCCUCUUCCUUUUCUCCUCCUCCUCCUCCUCCUUCUUCCUCUUCCUCUUCUCCUCCUCCUUCUUGAUUCCUCUUAUUUGAUCUGAACAGACUUUCUCUUUAAGAAUGAAAUGUAAUAAAUUAGCAUUGCAUAUAGGAUCAUCUUUAAGUUCUACGGGUUGAUUAACAUCUGUGCUGGGCCUUUUAGAGUUGAAAUUUUAUUAAUGAUCUUACUUUUUUUUUUAUAGGCUGUGAAGCUCAGGAAAGCGUAGGCAGGCAAAAUAUGUUUUUAAUAGGAUGAUAAUUUUUUUAAAAAACCUGCCCUGGAAAGUUGAUGAGAAUAAUAGAAUUUAGACAUAUUGUUAUUUCUUCAUCCUGCUAAGAGCUCAUGGAAGGUGCCAGGAUGAAACAUUGCACUGAUUUUUGUACAGCAGUCGAUCACUUACCACUUAACAAAAUGUCUGAGAAUGCCUUUGUGGGGGAGGUUUAGGUGAGUUCCUGUGUUUUAAAGUUCUAAGGGUGAAGAGGUAACAAGUUGGAUAGAUUUAUGACAUUGUUGGAAGUGAUUCCUCCUGUUCUUGAGGUUUGAGUGAGACGUCUGACCCCUGGGUCUGAAGUUUUUGUCCUAUGGAGUAUUUCAUUUAAAGAACUGUUGUUGACAAAAAUAGAUUGGGAAAACUAGGUGCCAAAGGUGUAUUAAGAAAAUACCAAAGACUGAACGAUGAGAGUUGGGGAGACUAUGAUAGUGAAGCCAGCAAAGACAAGGUUCUGAACCAAGGAUGGCAUGGGUAGUGUGGAAAUACUGUUAAGGGCUUCACAGUGACUGGUUUGCUGAUAUGCCUCCUGAGUACUUUGUUCAGAAUGAUGGCAAAUAGGAAUAUGAUGCUAAAUUAAGAUGUCAAGCUUUUGUGACUCAAAUAUGGCAACUGUCAACACAACGUCAUCCCUAGCUGAAGUGCCGUCUUGUAACAAGGCUGGCUGCAUCUUACUUUGCUUUUAUUUUUGAUACCACAUUUGGGCCCUGUGAUGAAUCACCAAGGUGAUUUUGUACAAAGAAUAUGGGCUCUCUAACUAGAUUGCAAGACUACAAAGAUCCAAGUAGAUCCAAGUGUCAGGCUUAUAUUAAUUGCUCAAUCGACAUUAUGAAAAGUGAUUUAGAAUAAGGUAAUAUUUAUAGUAAGAGAUAUAGGCAUCCAAGCAAGUUAGUAUGACUGGUGAGAUGCCUUUGCAGCCCAUAAAGAAAUUUCAAAUUUAGUUGAAGAGUAAGAUUUGGCACAAAAGUUUACUAGUUUUAUUUCAUUGCUUAUAAAAGGACAUAUUGCUCAGAAAACUUCUUUCAAAAAUAUAGAUUUAUUUAAAAAUGAGGCUGGUCCCAAAACUCCAAGUUUGAUAGGAUAAUUAUGUCACCAUAAGUCUAAAAAUAGAAUCAGUUAUCUGAUGUUUUUUAAAUUUUUUUGAAGGAACACCUGGUAUGACUUACCACAGCGCCCUUAAGAAGAGGCCAACAAGGCUAACAAGUAUGACAUUUUAUAAAGUACACAUUUAACUUGGUUAAGUAUAGAAAUACACAUUUGAGAAUAGAAGAGAACGGAAGAGAAAAAAAUCAUCGAGAAAGUGUAAAUUUGUAAUAUUUCCUGUAUGUCAGAAAUCUUAAACAAAGUCAGAACUCCGGGACAAAGAACCAGUAACACAUGUAAAAAUUCGUUUUUUUCAAGACAUCAUUACCUGAGCGCUUUGAUCUGCGCAUUCAUUCGUAUAUAAGCUGUCUUAGAAGCCAGUGGUAUUUGUGAUUCUACUUUUAUUUGAAUAUGCGUUGAUUUAAAAACAGAUUAUUUAAAAAUACUUUUCAGUGCAAAUGAUUUCCCCCAAUAAACUGCGCAUAGAUAAGGACUUGACAAGUGUUAUCUUGAUUUUUCUUUUAAACUUGUAUUUAAAUUCUCCAGACUUGCCCAAGCUAGCCAGUGGAUGGCUAUGAUCUUGCUAGGGUCAUCUGGGGUAGAGGGAGAUCCUACCCAUGUCUGCUAUGCUCAUGACUUCAGCCUGUUCCACUGUGGAUGGUGCCAGUGCAAGUUACAGCUCUUUUGACUCUAGGUAUCCUUCCUCCGGUGACAGAAACCAUCCUUAGAAUAGGAAAGCUGAGACGAGAAGUCUGAAUCUAUGUGUUAUAUUGCUUAUUCUUGCGGGUGCCAUAAGAUACCCUUGCCAAAAAGAACACACAUAUGCACACACAGACGUAUACACAAACACACACAGAUAUGCAUAGAUUUAUGCACACAGAGGCUCACACAGAUAUACAUAGAUUUGCACACACACACACACACACGACAGAGCUCGCGCAGGAGAGAUGGAGACAGAGACAUACAGAUAUUCACAUACAGACACAUAGACACACACACAAACAUACACACACAGAUAUGCAUACAGAGACACACAGAAAUGCGCGCACGCACAUGCGCGCGCACACACACACACACAAGGCAGAGCAGAACAUGAGGACACAAAGAAAAGGAGAUGAGAAAAAUGAAGAAAAAGAAUAAAAGAGAGGCCAAGGGAACAGUAGGAUUCCUAAGGAAAAGAGCACAUGGCCUCAUGUGAGGGACUAUUUGCUGUUUUCGUUUCUUCUUUCCUGUGUUAGCUGCACAUAAAGCAGCUGCUCUCUGAAUGGGUUGAUCGCCUCUGUCAUUCAGCAAUUAACAUUAGAUUCUAUUCAGCGCAAAGGAGACUUGAAAUAUGGGACUACCACAAGAUACUGCUGAAACUGGACUCUGGGAAGACCAGUGAAGGAAAAACAGAAAACACAGAUGGAGGAGGUGCUAAAUCCCGAGGCUGUGUACAAACGUUUAUGCUCAAAUGCAAAACCUGCAUUUUUUUUUAAGCUGAGAGGAAGAAGGGUAACUGUAUUUUACAACGUAUUUGACAUGUUCCUAAUAAAGUUUUAU